rnacentral:rRNA from 1 species
CAGUCGCCGCGGGAAUACGGAGGGUGCAAGCGUUAAUCGGAACUACUGGGCGUAAAGCGCACGCAGGCGGUUUGUUAAGUCAGAUGUGAAAUCCCCGAGCUUAACUUGGGAACUGCAUUUGAAACUGGCAAGCUAGAGUCUUGUAGAGGGGGGCAGAAUUCCAGGUGUAGCGGUGAAAUGCGUAGAGAUCUGGAGGAAUACCGGUGGCGAAGGCGGCCCCCUGGACAAAGACUGACGCUCAGGUGCGAAAGCGUGGGGAGCAAACAGGAUUAGAUACCCGGGUAGUCCCUGUCUCUUAUAC